AUGCUCAAGUUGCAGGAGAAGAUGACCCUUCUCCUUCCCUCGGUUCCUUCCCCACAGCCACAAGCAAAUCUCCUCAUGCCGAUGUUAAUAGUACUGAUGGCCCUUGAGCUCCUCGUGGCAACAGUCGCCGCUGCCCCGUUAGCCUUGCCUGGCUGCCCGGAGGCCUGUGGCAGCGUCACCGUCCCCUACCCUUUUGGCUUCCGGCAAGGCUGCUUUCACAAGGGCUUCAACCUCACCUGCGACGAGACGAGCCAUCCGAAGAAGCUGUUCCUGCGCGACGACGUGGAAGUGGACGCCAUCUCACUGGUGGGCGGCACGGUACGUGUCCAGAGCAAGAUCGUGAACGGCGAGUGGGGCUACAGGAACGUGCCAUACCAAGCGCUUAACCCAAACAGGAGCGUUGGGUCUGGGAAUCCCUAUAUUGGCUACGACGGCUCGUGGUCUGGCGGCCUAACGGUGACGACCGAGCACAACGUCUUCGUGGCCAUCGGAUGCAACUUCAUCGGCUACCUCGCUGCAGGCAGUGACCGGGGUUCCGUGUACGUCAGCGCAUGCGCCACUCUGUGUGACACAGAUUAUCCGCCACCCGGGGACACCUCGUGCUCGGGCGUCGGCUGCUGCCGGACGACCAUCUCGCAGGGUUUGCCCGCGUACGGGGUGCAGCUCAAGGACUUGAACCAGACUGAAGCCGCGUACGCGGGCAAAGGCAGGCCCAUUAGUUCACGCCUUUUGUCCGGGGCAGCGUUCAUUGUCGACCGCGAGUGGUUCAUCGGGAUUAACGUAGGCGCCAUGCAGAAUAGCACUUUCGGUGAUUUCGGAAGCUCGUAUCGAUCUCGUCGGAGCAGUCCCGAGGUGACCAGGGUACCCACCGUGCUGGAAUGGUGGCUGGAUGUAAAAAGCGACCGUGACUUGGUCGUGUUGGAUUUGGACCCCCAUUCUGUAUCAGGUUGGAGAUGCAUGAGCUUGAACAGCUUCGCUGCCAACAUCGACGGUGCAGUGAACAAAGUAAGGUGCAACUGCUCGGAUGGAUACCAAGGCAACCCUUACAUCAUUCACGGAUGCCAAGAUAUCGAUGAGUGCCAACGGCCAGUUUAUCCAUGCGUGCAUGGGACCUGCAUUAAUAUGCCGGGGACAUACCGAUGUGCAACAAAGAAACGUAUCAUCAGCCUCCCAGGUUUAAUUACCGCAAUCGCAGUAACUGCUGGUUUUGGGUUACUGUUUUCACUUAUGGGUGCUGCCAAAAUCACUAAUAAACUCAAGCAACGAAGGGCCAAAAAGUUGAGACAAAAAUUCUUCAAGAAAAAUCAUGGAUUGCUUCUACAACAGUUAAUCUCUUCAAACAAUGAUAUAGCCGAAAGAACAAGGAUUUUUAGCUUGGAAGAACUGGAGCAAGCGACCAACAAAUUUGACCAUAAUCGCAUCCUUGGUGGCGGUGGGCAUGGUACGGUGUACAAAGGCAUCUUAUCUGAUCAACGUAUUGUGGCCAUCAAGAGGGCCAAAAUUAUUGUACAAAGGGAAAUCGACCAGUUCAUCAACGAGGUUGUCAUACUUUCACAGACAAACCAUAGGAAUGUGGUGAAGCUUUUUGGUUGUUGCCUUGAGACAGAAGUUCCUCUUCUUGUUUACGAAUUCAUAUCAAAUGGAGCUCUUUCAUUUCAUCUCCAUGGCCAAAGUGAGAACCCAUUAUCAUGGAAAGAUAGGUUGAGGAUUGCACUGGAAACUUUGGCCAUGGAGGAAUGUGGUGAAGCUUUUUGGUUGUUGCCUUGAGACAGAAGUUCCUCUUCUUGUUUACGAAUUCAUAUCAAAUGGAGCUCUUUCAUUUCAUCUCCAUGGCCAAAGUGAGAACCCAUUAUCAUGGAAAGAUAGGUUGAGGAUUGCACUGGAAACUGCAAGGGCCAUUGCAUAUAUACACUCUGCUGCUUCAAUAUCAGUAUACCACAAAGAUAUCAAAUGUGCAAAUAUACUACUUACCGAUACCUUAACAUCAAAAGUAUCAGAUUUUGGAGCUUCAAGGUCUAUUGCAAUAGAUGAGACAGGAAUACUUACAGCUGUCCAAGGAACCUAUGGUUACCUUGAUCCUGAAUACUACUACACUAGUCGACUCACGGAGAAAAGCGAUGUUUACAGCUUUGGUGUCAUCCUAGCAGAGCUACUGACAAGGGUGACACUAGUUUUUUCUUCUCAUUCAUCAGAAGGGACAAGCCUAGCAUCACAUUUUGUAUCACAUAUAAGAGACAAUCGAUUCUUGGACAUUCUAGAUGCACAAAUUGUUGAGGAGGGAGGGGCUGAAGAUGCUGAGGUGGUUGCAAGACUCGCAGAAGCAUGCUUAAGUUUAAAAGGUGAAGAAAGGCCUACAAUGAGACAAGUGGAGACAGUACUUGAAGAUGUUCAGAACUCAAGAGUCAAUCUUAGUUCUCAGAUCACAAGAGUGAACCGAAAUGCUAUAAAUGAUAAACCAUACAAGGGAAGUAAAGGCGGAGAAGAAACUAGACCGUACAGCUUGGAAAAGGAGUUCAUAGAGUCGUCUGAAAUUCCAAGAUGA
rnacentral:rRNA from 1 species